GGCCUGUAAAACUAGAGCACGUGUGUUUGCUUGUUUAAUUCGGGGGCUCUGCAAUGCUCAGACCAAAUUCCUGUAACCACGAAACCUGACACUUGCGAUCCAGAUGUAGGUUACAGGGAUGAUGCUACUAACAGUAAAAGUUGAGUCAUAUGGUUUCACGGAUAAGUCCUAAGGAUCAACCAGGAAGUUGCUUUAUCUGGCCACCCUCCACCAAUGCACAGCUUGACCAAUGGCACAACCUACAAGCUGAUUUCAAGGUCACUGCAAGCACCACUCGUUAGCUGGAGGAGCUGGAGGCACCGUGCACUUUCACUGCUGGGGAAGGGCUUGCUGUGUAAGUAAUGACCUGACAUGCCACCUGCGUACACAGAAGACAUGCUGAACUAAACAGCAAAGCACCUUGGGUGCUGUGGAGCUCAAUCGCUUCAUGUCAAAUGCCAGGGAUGCCAGGGCAUGUGUCCCCCUGCCCUGCUCCGUGGACAGUGGCUGACCCCACCCAGGAGCCAAAGUGAUGGAGAAGUUCAAGAAAACCUUGGCCACCAGUGCCCAAAGAAUGUGGAUCGGCCCAGCAUUUUGUUCCACCCCAGAACCAGGCUUCUGGUAUUGAAGAGUGAUAUCCUUCUGUUGGAAGCAGUUCAGUUUCUAUUUAUGGGAGGCAGUGUUCUCAAAGUGUAGAUCUCCAGGACACCUGCAUUAGAAUCCUGGAGGGCUUGUAAAAAUGCAAAUGUCUGACUCCCAGGAAUUCCUGCUGAAUUAGACUCAGCAUGAAAGAUGGAGAGCCGAGGGUAGCAAUUAAGAACACGGGUUCUCAUAUAUAUGGACUAACUCCAAGCUCCAGCUUCUCUACCGACACCUGUGGACCGUGGGCAGAGUAUUUAACCUCUCUGGGUCUCCAUUUCAUCACCUGUGCAAAGGGAAUGCAGAACAGUCGAGAGAUUUGGAACUCACGUGGUUGUUUAAAGAAUGAAAUGGAAUAACACAUAUUCUGCAAUGUUUGGCAAGCAGUAAAUGUUCACCAUGAGAUAACUCUUCAGAAAGUCUUAGGAUCCUAUGAGAAAUAAUAAACUUGGCCAUGACAACCA
rnacentral:lncRNA from 1 species